CGGAGGAAAGUAGGGGAUCGAAAGACCUUAUGCUUUUGGAGCGGCCGAUGUCUGAUUAGCUAGUUGGUAAGGUAAUGGCUUACCAAGGCAACGAUCAGUAGUUGGUCUGAGAGGACGACCAGCCACACUGGGACUGAGACACGGCCCAGACUCCUACGGGAGGCAGCAGUGGGGAAUUUUGGACAAUGGGCGCAAGCCUGAUCCAGCAAUGCCGCGUGAGUGAAGAAGGCCUUCGGGUUGUAAAGCUCUUUCAGUUGAGAAGAAAAGAUUGUAACUAAUAAUUGCAAUUCAUGACGGUAUCAACAGAAGAAGCACCGGCUAACUACGUGCCAGCAGCCGCGGUAAUACGUAGGGUGCGAGCGUUAAUCGGAAUUACUGGGCGUAAAGGGUGCGCAGGCGGUUCUGUAAGUCAGAUGUGAAAUCCCCGGGCUUAACCUGGGAACUGCGUUUGAAACUACAAAGCUAGA
rnacentral:rRNA from 1 species